UGCCACUGUUUUGUGUGGACCUGCCUGUAACUGAGGAUGGAAUAAACCACGGUUCUGCUUAUUUGCUCUUCAAACUGGCAAUUUUUCUUAUGGGCCCAGCUACAUCUAUUUCCACUUCUCUCUCUUUCUGACACUGUGAGAGGCAGCCCUAGGGAGGAGGUCUGCAGGUCCCUGAGCUCACUUCUUCUAACUCAUGGAUUUGAAGUUUGCAUUUUCUUCAGCAACAAGAACUUACCUUCAGAUCCUGAAGAGCUACCAAGAAAAGUCUCUUGGACGGCCCUAGUCAACAACUCAAAAGGAACCUUCAUCCAGUGACUGAUGGAAGCAGAGGCAAACACCCACAGU